UACAGAGGGUGCAAGCGUUGUUCGGAAUUAUUGGGCGUAAAGGGCGCGUAGGCGGUGCGGUAAGUCUGCGGUGAAAUCUCCCGGCUCAACUGGGAGGCUGCCGUGGAAACUGCCGUGCUUGAGUGUGGGAGAGGUGAGUGGAAUUCCUGGUGUAGCGGUGAAAUGCGCAGAUAUCAGGAGGAACACCAAUUGCGAAGGCAGCUCGCUGGGACGUUACUGACGCUGAGGCGCGAAAGCGUGGGGAGCAAACAGG
rnacentral:rRNA from 1 species